rnacentral:tRNA from 1 species
GGGCGAUUAGCUCAGUUGGUAGAGCACCUCCCUUACAAGGAGGGGGCCAGUGGUUCGAGCCCGCUAUCGCCCACCA